AGUAACGGAGGUGUGCGAAGGUAGGCUCAAGCGUUGAUUCUCUCGUGGCGUAAUGGUAUAAGCGCCUGACUGUGAAGACGACUGGUCGAACAGAGACGAAGUCGCAUAGUGAUCGGGAGUCCGUGUGGAAGGGCUCUCGCUCAACGGAUCAAAGGUACGCCGGGAUAACAGGCUGAUGACUCCCAAGAGCUCUUAUCGAGAGGUCGUUUGGCACCUCAGAUGUCGACUCAUCACAUCCUGGGGUUGAGAAGGUCCCAAGGGUUCGUGUUCGCCAUGAAAGUGGUACGUGAGUUGGGUUUAGAACUCGUGAGACAGUUCGGUUCCUAUCUACCGUUGGUGUUAAGGGAGAACUAGGAGCCAACCUAGUACAAGAGGACUGGGUUGGGUCAACCUAUGGUGUACCGGUUGUUAUGCCAAUAGCAGCCGGCGGCUAAGUUUGGAAGAAGCUGCGCCGCGGACGGCGGUAUGGGACGUCGAGACGGUGGCCAAGUCGGGGCGGCGGGGACGCCGCCCCGGCGAGCCGGGGGAUGGCAGCCGGCGGGGUUCAUCGCGGGGGAGACAUCCUGGGGCGACGACCGGUGUC
rnacentral:rRNA from 1 species